UACGUAGGGGCCGAGCGUUGUCCGGAGUUAUUGGGCGUAAAGCGCGCGCAGGCGGCCUCGCGCGCCCGACGUGAAAGCCCCCGGCUUAACCGGGGAGGGUCGUUGGGGACGGCGGGGCUUGAGGGCGGGAGAGGUCGGUGGAAUUCCCGGUGUAGUGGUGAAAUGCGUAGAGAUCGGGAGGAACACCUGUGGCGAAGGCGGCCGACUGGGCCGACCCUGACGCUGAGGCGCGAAAGCCAGGGGAGCAAACGGG
rnacentral:rRNA from 1 species